rnacentral:rRNA from 1 species
GCAUGUCUAAGUACAUGCCGAAAUAAGGCGAAACCGCGAAUGGCUCAUUAAAUCAGUUAUGGUUCCUUAGAUCGUUUCUUCCUACUUGGAUAACUGUGGCAAUUCUAGGUAUAUGCAGUGCGCCUGGAGCCCUUUGGGUAACGGGUGCUUUUAUUAGACCAAGAUCGAUCGGGUUUCGGCCCGUAUUGUGUGGUGACUCUGGAUAACUUUGUGCUGAUCGCAUGGCCACGAGCCGGCGACGUUUCUUUCAAGUGUCUGCCUUAUCAACUUUUGAUGGUAGGCCUUACUUGCUCUACCAUGUUACGGGUAACGGAGAAUCAGGGUUCGAUUCCGGAGAGGGAGCCUGUGAAACGGCUACCACAUCCAAGGAAGGCAGCAGGCGCGCAAAUUACCCACUCCCGGCACGGGGAGGUAGUGACGAAAAAUAACAAUACGGGACUCUUUUGAGGCCCCGUAAUUGAAAUGAGUACACUCUAAAUCCUUUAACGAGGCAAUUGGAGAGCAAGUCUUGGGCUUGCAGCGAGCCGUGCGUGAUUCAGCUACUAAAGCUGCUGCGGUUAAAAAGCUCGUAGUUGGAUCUCAGUUCCAGACGAGUAGUGCAUCUACCCGAUGCGACGGCUCGGACUGAACAUCAUGCCGGUUCUUUCUUGGUGCACUUCAUUGUGUGCCUCGAUAUGGCCGGUGCUUUUACUUUGAAAAAAUUAGAGUGCUCAACGCAGGCGAGUCGCCUGAAUAAACUUGCAUGGAAUAAUAGAACAAGACCUCGUUUCUGUUCUGUUGGUUUUUGCUUUUCGAAUACGAGGUAAUGAUUAAGAGGGACGGACGGGCAUUCGUUUGCGGCGCCUUAGAGCGUAAAAAUUCCUGCGACAUCGCCAGCAGAACUACUGCCGAAAAGGAUUUGCCCAAGGAUGUUUUCAUUGAUCAAAAAGAGCGUUCGAAGGCGCGAUCAGAUACCGCCCUAGUUCUGACCAUAAACGAUGCCAACCAGCGAUCCACCUGAGUUACUCAAAUGACUCGGCGGGCAGCUUCCGGGAAACCAAAGUAUUUGGGUUGCCUCCGGGCGAGUAUGGUUGCAAAGCCCUGAAAAGCGAAUUGACGAAGCGGCACUACCAGGAGUGGAGCCUGCGGCUUAAUUUGACCUCAAACGGCCGCGAUAAAACUUACCCGGCCCGGACACUGGGAGGAUUGACAGAUUGAGAGCUCUUUCUUGAUUCGGUGGAUGGUGGUGCAUGGCCAUUCUUAGUUGGUGGAGCGAUUUGUCUGGUUAAUUAUCCGAUAAACGACGAGACUCUAGCCUAUGUAAAUAGGUGGCGGGGUUCUCUUCCCCCCCCCCAGACCUUAACAACCUUCUUAGAGGACAAGCGGCUCCUAGCCCCGAAACAGAGCAAGUAAACAGGUCUUCUUGGAUGACCCUUAGAUGUCGCGAGCCGCACGGCGCGCUACACUGGAAGGACGGCCCAGCGUGUUUUAAUCCGCUCUGGAAAAGACUGGCUAACGUGAAAUUCUUUCGUGAUUGGGAUAGGGGCUUGCAAUUGUUCCCCUUGAACGAGGAAUUCCCAGUAAGCGCGAGUCAUAAGCUCGCGUUGAUUACGUCCCUGCCCUUUCCAUGCUACACACCGCCCGUCGCUGACACGAUGAAUGAUUUAGUGAGGUCUUCGGGAACGAUGUCCGGCGCGCGGCCUUUCGGUUGCGCCGGUCUGUUGGAAAGAUGACCAAACUUGAUCAUUUAGAGGAAGUAAAAGUCGUAACAGCGUUUCCGGUUAGGAGGGUGAACCUGCGGAAG